AAAUACUCUGGAAUAAUUGUAUUAGUCAAAGCUAAUACAAAAUUCUUGUUUUUUUUUUUUGGCAAAAUUUACUAUAUUUAUUGGAAAUUGUUCCUAUUUUGACCAAGUUCAUGUAAAAUUUUACUCAUUUUAAAAUAUCUUUCGAUGCAACUUUAGAGGAAAUUCCCUAAUUUUCCUUUUACUUUAAACAGCACAAUUAAUUAAAAUUGUAAAGACAAAAUUUGUUUUUCCUUCACGGAUAGUGUAGUGUCUAUAAGUCCCCAUCAUUUUUUCCCUGCUCAUUUAUGAGGUAAGUAACUUAGUAAUAUAUCAAGAAUCCUGUGUAGUUCUUGCAUUAAUUUAUAUUAAAUGAUUUUAUCAGCAUAUUAAUAAUAUAUUUUUUAGGCACAAAACCGACCAGUUUUUUUCAUAGAUUUGGACCACUCAAACGUCCAAAACUGGUCAAAUUAACCUCCAUGCAUUGGAAACUCUAGAAUUUUGUCUUUCUGCACUCUCGUCUAAGAAAAAGGAUACAAAAUGGGAGUAUGGACACUCUGGAUGGAAAUUAGACAAAUAGCACAGGGAUCCCGGGAUUUUAGAGGUUUUUGACCAAUUUAGCAUGGAAAUGGGAAAACGAGCGUGGAUACCUGAAAAUGAACUAAAUCAGGACUGACUUACUGGAAAUCCAGGAAUUUUGAAUGUUUCUUACUAAUUUAGCACGGAAAUGGGAAAACGAAUAUGGAUACAUGAUAAUGAAUUAAUUAGGACUGAUACAUUGGAAAUCCUGCAGUUUUCAAUGAUUUUUCAUCCAUUUGACAAAAAAAUUGUGACUUUUUGGCCCUAAAUCUACUUUUUAGUAUUGGAAUCAUUAUUUUAAGAAAAUUGAGUAUGGAUGCCCGGAAAUUCACUAACUAUGAUCUACAUAAUGGAAUUUUAAUGAUUUAUCCCCACUGUACCCAAAAAGAGGGAAAAAGAGUAUGGACGUUCAAAUAUUGACUAAAAUACCACUGGCAUAGUGGAAAAUUCUGGAAUUUAAAUGUUUUUUACCGCAUACAAAGAAAAAAGAGUGUGGAACCCUAAAUAUUGACUAAAAUACCAGUGACAUACUGGAAUCCCUGGAAUUCUGUGGAUUAUUUAGCUAAACACAAUAAAAGCAAAUGCACCCCUAAAACGGCCUUUUUUAUUCAAUUAAACCCUCAGAAAAAACCCCUUCUUCCAUUAAACAACCACC